rnacentral:rRNA from 1 species
GCGCGAAAACUUUACAAUGCUGGCAACAGCGAUAAGGGAACCUCGAGUGCCAGGUUACAAAUCUGGCUGUCGAGAUGCCUAAAAAGCAUUUCAUAGCAAGGGCCGGGCAAGACCGGUGCCAGCCGCCGCGGUAACACCGGCGGCUCGAGUGGUAACCGUUAUUAUUGGGUCUAAAGGGUCUGUAGCCGGCCGGAUAAGUCUCUUGAGAAAUCUGGCAGCUUAACUGUCAGGCUUUCAGGAGAUACUGUCUGGCUCGAGGACGGUAGAGGUGAGAGGUACUUCAGGGGUAGGGGUGAAAUCUUGUAAUCCUUGAAGGACCACCAGUGGCGAAGGCGUCUCACCAGAACGGACCUGACGGCAAGGGACGAAAGCUAGGGGCACGAACC